GGCGGUGGCGGGGUGGCAUCUGCGCCGGGCUGCAGACCCGUUGAUUCGGUUCGGGGUGCUGAGGUUCCGGUCGCUGCGCAUCACCGUCACC
rnacentral:tRNA from 1 species